CCCCCUCUCUCACGAAGCUUCUAUCCCCACCCUCCCCGCGCCACCGUGACCUGCUUCGCUCUGUGCCACCGCGACCUGCUUCGCCCCGGCCCACCCCGCUCCGCUACGCCCCGGCCCGCCCCCCUCCGUUGCGCCCCUUCUUCCCCCUGUGCUGCACCGGUGGCAGUCGCGACGGGCGUGGUGGCCAUGGCCACGCCGGCCGGGGUGACGGCGUCGUGCCGCCCGUGGUGACCGCAUCUGCGACGCCCUUAACUCUGCUGACCACGUCGCCCUUUGGAUGCGGAGACGGUGGCGCCCCCGCUGAUUGGACGAGCACCCGAUCUGCUGUGUUGUAAGCAGUUUGUUCUGUCCAAAAGAAACUAGCAAGUGUCGGGUGUUGAAUGCUUGAAGAAAAGUUCCCUGCUCGUGGCAUCGAAGCAACAGAGAAGAAAGGCAUUGCUAAAUCAAGUAGCAGCCUUGAAGCGUCGUCGAGCUGAAGAAAUUGAAGAUGUGCGUCAAAAGGAGUCCGAGAAGACUCGAAAAGCAUAUGCUUAUGCCAGCAAUGUCUUGUCAUGGGGUGUUGGGAUGUACGAGCAGUGCAAUGAGAUACAAAAGUUUCUUCAGACUUUGGCAACUAAGCAAGGAGUGUCUAUUGGAGAAAUACCACUGCCGCCGGUUCCACCUCCUUUUCAUUUGCUUUCUCCUCCUGGAUCUCCACAACAAUCUACCAUCCAAAUUAUAGAAAAUAGCGAAGAAUCGCCAGCUUUGUGUGCUCAACAAGAAACAAACCCUAGCUCUAUUAAUGAACAUGUUACUACUGCAAGUGUUCCUGCUGUAGACGAUGAAGGGAUGUUUGGGGGAUUUUUCAGUUAGUCUGUAACUGGUGCACUAAGCCUAUCGCUACUGAGCAGUCAGUUGGUUCCUUGAUGUUCUUGGAUGUACAGUGCGUGGAGUAAUAUUUUGGUGCAUGUAUAGUUCACAUGCUAGUACAUGUUCUGUAAUGUAGGAAACUCUAGUUGACCUACAUCAGUAUGUACGUGCUAAUUGAGAUGCUUAAUCAGUUAGAUGUAGCAAACUCUAGCUAGCAAGCCUAUUUUUUGGUCAAACAUGUGAUGGCCAGUGAUGUCUUGGCAUCUACUGUAUGCAUGUGACGAUUGGUAUCUAUA